rnacentral:rRNA from 1 species
ACUCCUACGGGAGGCAGCAGUGGGGAAUAUUGCACAAUGGGGGAAACCCUGAUGCAGCCAUGCCGCGUGUGUGAAGAAGGCCUUGGGUUGUAAAGCACUUUCAGUAGGGAGGAAGGUAGUGUAGUUAACACCUGCAUUAUUUGUACGUUACCUACAGAAGAAGCACCGGCUAACUCCGUGCCAGCAGCCGCGGUAAGUACGGAGGGUGCGAGCGUUAAUCGGAAUUACGUGGGCGUAAAGCGCAUGCAGGCGGCCUGUUAAGUCAGAUGUGAAAGCCCGGGGCUUAACCUCGGAAUUGCAUUUGAAACUGGCAGGCUAGAGUCUUGUAGAGGGGUUAGAA